GGAGCAGCCGGGUGGAGAGUCCCGGCUUUAAACCCGAAAUGUGACGGCGCCUGCGAGGGAGAAGUCACCAUUUAUCUCGCGAACUUGGAAACUAGCAGAGACACAUUCUUACGACUCGCCUUGUCAACCAGAGAAGGAUCAUGGUUCCUGGAUUUCAAAUGUUUUGCAAGUCAAGAAACAAGUAACCAGAAGUGAUAUUAAGAAGCAAACUUCCACAGCCUGCUACAGCCUCAGGCUUCAUGAUGAUAAAACAUUCCUGAUGGCUUGAUGUCUUCUAAAGGCCUGUUACUUCGGAACCAAAUGAUGACUUCUGUUCCUGCAUUAUUAGUCUGCCAUCUCAACCCUGGCUAAUAGAUAACCCUUUGGAUUGUCAGCAAUGAAUAAUAUUUUCCAGGUGCCAAA